rnacentral:rRNA from 1 species
UACGUAGGGAGCGAGCGUUGUCCGGAAUUACUGGGUGUAAAGGGCGAGUAGGCGGACUCAACAGUCAGGUGUGAAAUACCCGGGCUUAACCCGGGGGCUGCAUUUGAAACUAUGAGUCUUGAGAGAUGGAGAGGUAAGCGGAAUUCCUAGUGUAGCGGUGAAAUGCGUAGAUAUUAGGAGGAACACCAGUGGCGAAGGCGGCUUACUGGACAUCAACUGACGCUGAGGAGCGAAAGCGUGGGGAGCGAAC